UUCAACACGCAGCGAUAAUCACACACUUUCACAGCAGGUACUGCUCGAUGCAUUGGAAGCAAGACAAAGAACGGUCGAAAAUAUAUGGGAUAUUACGGUAUCUCUUAACAUACUUUACAAGGAAAACUGGACUAGUUAUUUUUUCAUUACUAUAAAUCGCCUUUACACAAAGCCGUAGUUCCUGGUUUGCACCGGAAACAGAGCAAGAUCGCCCCCCAGCAGCUGGAUACCUAGUUGCGGCUGAGGACAAAACAAAGGUUGGCAUCGCUUGAAAUCGCCCGUUUUCAGGACCAAAUAAUCAAAAGACUAUCAGAAGAAAUGGUGUCUCUGGAUAUUACAUCAUCCCCAACCAGUGCAAUACUCGUUCAGCAACAGACCCAACUGGAGCAUGAAUGGACAUUUUCUAGGAGUUUCUUUUACUCUCUAACUGUUCUGAGCACUAUAGGCUACGGAAAUAUAGCUCCACGAACCACACUAGGAAGAGUCGUGACGCUCGUGUACGCAAUCCUAGGAAUUCCAUUGACUUUGGUAUAUUUGUCGAGUACAGGUGGAAUAUUAGCGAAAGUAGCUCGCGGUGUAUUUUCCCGGGCAUUGUGUUGCUGCUUAUGCUCAAAUUGUGGCUACUGCUGUUACGAUGAAAAGCGAAUGGCGGAGAAAGAACUUCGGAUGAGGCGCAAACGCCAGCUGAUGGAGCUUCGAGCACAAGAAAUUGCUUUGAAAGAACCCUAUUAUGUCCGUUCGGGUACCUUGAUCAACAACCUUCAUUCGCCGGAAAAGCAUACACCAAUGUUAAGCGACAUAGAUUCGGAUAGCGAAAUUUCUAUGCAUUUGCAUGGGCUUAGCAUACUCGCACCAAUUUUACUUUGCCUGGCAAUGAUGUCGGUAUACAUUGCAUUUGGUGCAUUUGCACUUUACAAACUUGAAGAUUGGCCCGUUAUUGAUGGAAUUUAUUUCUGUUUUAUGAGCUUGUCUACGAUUGGUUUUGGAGAUGUCGUUCCGGGACUUCGCAAAGAAUCAACUUUGACCACGUGGUUUUGCUCUAUUUACAUCAUGUCGGGAAUGGCAUUAACGGCCAUGUGUUUCAAUGUUUUGCACGAAGAAAUUAUGCACAGAUUGAGACAUGUCGUAGAGAUGCAGAACGCAUUAAACAUUAGUGAUGAUCAUCAUAAUUUUUUGGCUUCCUGACGGUACGAGAAAAACACAAACCUCUAUCAGCGGAAUCCCACCGAGGAAACAUUGUUUACAGGAACAUCAACCACAUUGAUAUUCGCCCAGGAGCCCGAUUUGAAUCCAUUAAAAGAUUGUAACAAUCACCCAGUGAACCACGAAAUGGUACCGAUCACUAUGAACAAUCCAAGACUGCCAGAGGUCCUUGAGCAUGCUAUCAAAAUUCCACAAAUACCCGAUGAACCUUUCAUAAACCUGAAUGUGCAGUCUAAUUUGAACACAAGAGUUUACACAUUACGGGAAGAAUCGGAAAUUGAAUCAGAUAACAAUUUGACGUAGAUCACGAAUUUAUCAAGCACUUGGAUUGAACAGUUAUCAAAUUCAUAAAAGAUACUGUUUAUACCAAAGCUCAGCUGAUGACCUGAUAUUAGCAGCAUCUCCCGUCCAGCACCAUCCAGUUGAACAAAUCUGCUGAGCUUUGGAUGUACAACACAAGAUUGAAUCGACUCGAAUUCAAGUCAUUGCCAAUCGAAAUCUUUACAACCAUGAUUGAACAAACCUAAGUGAACGCAUGUUUCCGUUAUUAUGUGAUAUAAACUCAGCAAAUUUGUUUACUUAUAGCUAGGGUUAGUGAAAUUUCACGAUUUCGCGGACAGCGUGAAAUCCGCGAAAUUUGUCUUUUUCCGCGAAAUCCCGUGAAAUUUUAUGUUUGUGAGAAACUAUAACGAUUUUUCUCAAAAUAUUUUAUCAAACUCAAAUAAGAAUAAAAAUAAUCUUAGGAACUUCUGUUCAAUUAAUAAUACAUAUAUAGGGUUAGUGAAUUUUGGCGAUUUGAAAUUCUUGUAAUUUAUUAUUUUGUCAAAUCGUUUUUUUUUUUCAUAUAACAUUAUAAUAAAUAUUUUAAUCAUAAAGA
rnacentral:misc_RNA from 1 species